CAGUAGCCGCGGGAAUACGGAGGGUGCAAGCGUUAAUCGGAAUUACUGGGCGUAAAGCGUGCGCAGGCGGUUUGUUAAGACAGAUGUGAAAUCCCCGGGCUCAACCUGGGAACUGCAUUUGUGACUGGCAAGCUAGAGUAUGGCAGAGGGGGGUGGAAUUCCGCGUGUAGCAGUGAAAUGCGUAGAUAUGCGGAGGAACACCGAUGGCGAAGGCAGCCCCCUGGGCCAAUACUGACGCUUAUGCACGAAAGCGUGGGGAGCAAACAGGAUUAGAUACCCGAGUAGUCCCUGUCUCUUAUAU
rnacentral:rRNA from 1 species